rnacentral:misc_RNA from 1 species
GAUGAAGAACGCAGCGAAAUGCGAUAAGUAAUGUGAAUUGCAGAAUUCAGUGAAUCAUCGAAUCUUUGAACGCACAUUGUGCCCCCUGGCAUUCCGGGGGGCAUGCCUGUCCGAGCGUCAUUACAACCCUCAAGCUCAGCUUGGUGUUGGGCCCCGCCGCCCCGGCGGGCCCUAAAGUCAGUGGCGGUGCCGUCCGGCUCCGAGCGUAGUAAUUCUUCUCGCUCUGGAGGUCCGGUCGCGUGCUCGCCAGCAACCCCCAAUUUUUUUCAGGUUGACCUCGGAUCAGGUAGGGAUACCCGCUGAACUUAAGCAUAUCAAUAAGCGGAGGA